rnacentral:rRNA from 1 species
UACAGAGGAUGCAAGCGUUGUUCGGAAUUACUGGGCGUAAAGCGCACGUAGGCGGAUUUGUUAGUCAGGGGUGAAAUCCCGAGGCUCAACCUCGGAACUGCCUUUGAUACUGCAAAUCUCGAGUCCGGAAGAGGUGAGUGGAAUUCCUAGUGUAGAGGUGAAAUUCGUAGAUAUUAGGAAGAACACCAGUGGCGAAGGCGGCUCACUGGUCCGGUACUGACGCUGAGGUGCGAAAGCGUGGGGAGCAAACAGG